rnacentral:rRNA from 1 species
CCAGCUAAGGUCCCCAAGUACUAGUUAAGUGGGAAACGAUGUGGGAAGGCAUAGACAGCCAGGAGGUUGGCUUAGAAGCAGCCACCCUUUAAAGAAAGCGUAAUAGCUCACUGGUCGAGUCGGCCUGCGCGGAAGAUGUAACGGGGCUAAAACUAGUCACCGAAGCUGCGGAUGUGCGCGAAGGCGCACGUGGUAGGGGAGCGUUCUGUAGGCUGAUGAAGGUGCAUUGAGAAGUGUGCUGGAGGUAUCAGAAGUGCGAAUGCUGACAUGAGUAACGAUAAUGUGGGUGAAAAGCCCACACGCCGGAAGUCCCAGGUUUCCUGCACGACGUUAAUCGGAGCAGGGUGAGUCGGCCCCUAAGGCGAGGCUGAAGAGCGUAGUCGAUGGGAACCAGGUUAAUAUUCCUGGACUUUUUAUAAGUGGUGAAGUGGGGACGAAGAAGGCUAGGUGAGCCAGGCGUUGGUUGUCCUGGUACUUGCAUGUAGGGGGGAAGACUUGGCAAAUCCGGUUUUCCAUAACUCUGAGGUGCGAAGUGGUUCUGACCUUUUGGUACAGAGAAGUCAUUGAUGCCCGGCUUCCAGGAAAAGCUGCUAGCCAUAACUUAUAGAGAACCGUACCGCAAACCGACACAGGUGGACAGGUAGAGAAUACUAAGGCGCUUGAGAGAACUCGGGUGAAGGAACUAGGCAAAAUGGUACCGUAACU